rnacentral:misc_RNA from 1 species
AACGCACCUUGCGCUCCUUGGUAUUCCGAGGAGCAUGCCUGUUUGAGUGUCGCUUAAAUCAUCAACUCCCCCUUUUUAUUAACGUGAAGUGGGCGGUGAGCUUGGACUUGGGGAUUUGCUGGCCCAGUAUGUGGGUUUCUGGCUUCCCUUGAAUGCAUUAGCUGGAUCUCUUUUCGCAGCAUAUAUGCGGUGUGAUAAUAUCUUCACUGCUUCGCUCGAAUUGAAAUGUCUGGCUUCUAAUCGUCCUCUCGAGGACAAGCUUUGAUCAUUAAGACCUCAAAUCAGGUAGUACUACCCGCUGAACUUAA